AUGAACGCUGGCGGCUUGCCUAAUCCCUGCAAGUCGAGCGAACGGACGAGAAUCUUUCUUCUCUUUUGUUAGCGGCGUACUGGUUAGUAACCCUUUGUUAACCUACCUAUAAUACUGUGUUUACUUCGGGAAACCGUUGCUAAUACCGGAUGAUAUUUUUAACCGCAUGGUUCAAACGUUAAAUACGGUCUUUCUUUCACUUAUAUAUGUAUCCUCGCUGCAUUAGCUAGUUGGUAAGGUAACGGCUUACCAAGGCAACGAUGCAUAGACGACCUGAGAGGGUGAUAGGACAAACUGGAAGUGAGACACGGAACAGACGCCUACGGGAGGCAGCAGUAGGGAAUAUUCCGCAAUGGGCGAAAGCAUGACGGAGCAAGGGCGCGUGAGUGAUGAAGGUCUUAGGAUCGUAAAACUCUGUUAUUAGGGAAGAAAAUAUGUGUAAGUAACUGUGCACAUAUUGACGGUAACAAAUCAGAAAGCAACGGCUAACUACGUG
rnacentral:rRNA from 1 species